CCCCAGACUCCUACGGGAGGCAGCAGUGGGGAAUAUUGCACAAUGGGGGAAACCCUGAUGCAGCGACGCCGCGUGAGCGAUGAAGUAUUUCGGUAUGUAAAGCUCUAUCAGCAGGGAAGAAAAUGACGGUACCUGACUAAGAAGCCCCGGCUAACUACGUGCCAGCAGCCGCGGUAAUACGUAGGGGGCAAGCGUUAUCCGGAUUUACUGGGUGUAAAGGGAGCGUAGACGGCAAUGCAAGCCAGAUGUGAAAGCCCGGGGCUCAACCCCGGGACUGCAUUUGGAACUGUGUGACUGGAGUGUCGGAGAGGCAGGCGGAAUUCCUAGUGUAGCGGUGAAAUGCGUAGAUAUUAGGAGGAACACCAGUGGCGAAGGCGGCCUGCUGGACGAUGACUGACGUUGAGGCUCGAAAGCGUGGGGAGCAAACAGGAUUAGAUACCCCAGUAAA
rnacentral:rRNA from 1 species